rnacentral:rRNA from 1 species
UACGUAGGGUCCGAGCGUUGUCCGGAAUUAUUGGGCGUAAAGGGCUCGUAGGCGGUCUGUUGCGUCGGGAGUGAAAACUUACAGCUUAACUGUGAGCGUGCUUUCGAUACGGGCAGACUUGAGGCAUUCAGGGGAGAACGGAAUUCCUGGUGUAGCGGUGAAAUGCGUAGAGAUCAGGAAGAACAUCGGUGGCGAAGGCGCUCUGCUGGACCAUAACUGACACUCAGGGACGAAAGCUAGGGGAGCGAAUGGG